UACAGAGGGGGCAAGCGUUAUUCGGAAUUAUUGGGCGUAAAGGGCGCGUAGGCGGCCUGGCAAGUGGAAGGUGAAAUCCCUCGGCUUAACCGAGGAACUGCCCUCCAAACUGCUUGGCUUGAGUCCGGGAGAGGUGAGUGGAAUUCCCAGUGUAGCGGUGAAAUGCGUAGAUAUUGGGAGGAACACCAGUGGCGAAGGCGGCUCACUGGACCGGAACUGACGCUCAUACACGACAGCAUGGGGAGCGAACGGG
rnacentral:rRNA from 1 species